rnacentral:lncRNA from 1 species
GGGAAGGGAAGAAGACUUAUCUUUCUAGAUCCUAGGUUUCUGGAUCAAGAAAAGGCCCAUGUAGACUUAAUGUGGCCUAAGAUCUGGGACUUCAAGCCCGAUGCCAUGAUUGGAUGAGACUUUGGGGGAUCCUGGGAUGGGACUGAACACAUUUUGCACAGAGGAGAGACAUUAAGUAAUAAUUGCGGCCAUGGUGACAGAGUAGAGUACACUAAUGGGCCCCGGUCUUCACCCCUCCUUAAAUCCACACCCCUUGCGAUGGGAGAGGAUAUGCCAUCAAUUUUCCCAUCCCUUGACUUGGGAUUCGGCAGCAUGACUGACUCGCUUUGGCCAAUGGAACGUUAAUGGCACGAGGGAACCAAAGGUUUGGAAAGCGCUUAUGCGACUGGAUUUGCUUUCUUGUUUCUCUGCCAUCACCAUGCUAUUCCUAGGCUAACUCGUUGGUACCAAAAGUGAGAGGACAGAAAGUGCAGCAAAGCUGAAUGGCUCCAGUCCAGACCAGCCUAGACCGGCCAACCCGCAGCUGAACCUCACCACUGCCCUCCUCCCCCACCCCACACUGUGAACUAGCCCAGCUGAGAUCAGCAGAGCUGUGCAGCCAGCCAGAUCACUCUGGAGGAAGCCAGCUGCCAUGUUGUGAAGAUCCUCAAG